rnacentral:rRNA from 1 species
CGCGUGUGUGAAGAAGGUCUUCGGAUUGUAUUGCACUUUAAGUUGGGAUGAAGGGCAGUAAGCUAAUACCUUGCUGUUUUGACGUUACCGACAGAAUAAGCACCGGCUAACUUCGUGCCAGCAGCCGCGGUAAUACGAAGGGUGCAAGCGUUAAUCGGAAUUACUGGGCGUAAAGCGCGCGUAGGUGGUUCGUUAAGUUGGAUGUGAAAGCCCCGGGCUCAACCUGGGAACUGCAUCCAAAACUGGCGAGCUAGAGUACGGUAGAGGGUGGUGGAAUUUCCUGUGUAGCGGUGAAAUGCGUAGAUAUAGGAAGGAACACCAGUGGCGAAGGCGACCACCUGGACUGAUACUGACACUGAGGUGCGAAAGCGUGGGGAGC